UACAGAGGGUGCAAGCGUUAAUCGGAAUUACUGGGCGUAAAGCGCGCGUAGGUGGUUUGUUAAGUUGGAUGUGAAAUCCCCGGGCUCAACCUGGGAACUGCAUCCAAAACUGGCAAGCUAGAGUAGGGCAGAGGGUGGUGGAAUUUCCUGUGUAGCGGUGAAAUGCGUAGAUAUAGGAAGGAACACCAGUGGCGAAGGCGACCACCUGGGCUAAUACUGACGCUCAUGCACGAAAGCGUGGGGAGCAAACAGG
rnacentral:rRNA from 1 species